GCGUAGUCGAUGGGAAACAGGUUAAUAUUCCUGUACUUGGUGUUACUGCGAAGGGGGGACGGAGAAGGCUAUGUUGGCCGGGCGACGGUUGUCCCGGUUUAAGCGUGUAGGCUGGUUUUCCAGGCAAAUCCGGAAAAUCAAGGCUGAGGCGUGACGACGAGGCACUACGGUGCUGAAGCAACAAAUGCCCUGCUUCCAGGAAAAGCCUCUAAGCAUCAGGUAACAUCAAAUCGUACCCCAAACCGACACAGGUGGUCAGGUAGAGAAUACCAAGGCGCUUGAGAGAACUCGGGUGAAGGAACUAGGCAAAAUGGUGCCGUAACUUCGGGAGAAGGCACGCUGACACGUAGGUGAAGUGAUUUACUCAUGGAGCUGAAGUCAGUCGAAGAUACCAGCUGGCUGCAACUGUUUAUUAAAAACACAGCACUGUGCAAACACGAAAGUGGACGUAUACGGUGUGACGCCUGCCCGGUGCCGGAAGGUUAAUUGAUGGGGUCAGCGCAAGCGAAGCUCCUGAUCGAAGCCCCGGUAAACGGCGGCCGUAACUAUAACGGUCCUAAGGUAGCGAAAUUCCUUGUCGGGUAAGUUCCGACCUGCACGAAUGGCGUAAUGAUGGCCAGGCUGUCUCCACCCGAGACUCAGUGAAAUUGAACUCGCUGUGAAGAUGCAGUGUACCCGCGGCAAGACGGAAAGACCCCGUGAACCUUUACUAUAGCUUGACACUGAACAUUGAGCCUUGAUGUGUAGGAUAGGUGGGAGGCUUUGAAGUGUGGACGCCAGUCUGCAUGGAGCCGACCUUGAAAUACCACCCUUUAAUGUUUGAUGUUCUAACGUGGACCCGUAAUCCGGGUUGCGGACAGUGUCUGGUGGGUAGUUUGACUGGGGCGGUCUCCUCCUAAAGAGUAACGGAGGAGCACGAAGGUUGGCUAAUCCUGGUCGGACAUCAGGAGGUUAGUGCAAUGGCAUAAGCCAGCUUGACUGCGAGCGUGACGGCGCGAGCAGGUGCGAAAGCAGGUCAUAGUGAUCCGGUGGUUCUGAAUGGAAGGGCCAUCGCUCAACGGAUAAAAGGUACUCCGGGGAUAACAGGCUGAUACCGCCCAAGAGUUCAUAUCGACGGCGGUGUUUGGCACCUCGAUGUCGGCUCAUCACAUCCUGGGGCUGAAGUAGGUCCCAAGGGUAUGGCUGUUCGCCAUUUAAAGUGGUACGCGAGCUGGGUUUAGAACGUCGUGAGACAGUUCGGUCCCUAUCUGCCGUGGGCGCUGGAGAACUGAGGGGGGCUGCUCCUAGUACGAGAGGACCGGAGUGGACGCAUCACUGGUGUUCGGGUUGUCAUGCCAAUGGCACUGCCCGGUAGCUAAAUGCGGAAGAGAUAAGUGCUGAAAGCAUCUAAGCACGAAACUUGCCCCGA
rnacentral:rRNA from 1 species